GGAAGUUCUUGCUCUGCAGUGACAUUGUGUUCACAGAGCAGUUAGAUUAUAGUGGAACACAAGCAGCCAAUCAGCACUUCAGCCAAAACCACACAACUUUCAGCUUUGGCAGUCGUCAUGUUUCCUGUUCUGAAUUGAAGCCCUUCUGCUGUUCGAGUAGUAUCAGAGUUUUAUUUAGUUUUUCGCAGCAUAUCUAGCGUUGGAAUAUCAGAGUCUUUCAGUUCUCAGAAUUGAAGCCAUUUUGCUGUUUAAUGCGAUUCUGUGCCACUUCUGAAGCUCAGACAGCGCAACAUCAGCAGAGAUCUCAGAGUUGUGAUGGAGGUUUCUUCUCUUCAGCUCAACACAAGCUGGGAUGUAGAAAUGAACUGCUAGAGCAUCAGAAACCAGAUAGGAAGAAACAACAGGACAGAGAGAAAAAUGGAGGCCAGAAAUGAGACACAAACCAGUGAAACACAAGAGAAAAACAGACUGACACUUGUCAGAUGUGCCAGUAUAGAGAUAAUAAAACCAAGCUUCUCACAUGAUCCAGACGGACCUGUAAACUUUCCUUCAGAUGAAACUUCAGCACGUUCUGAAGAACACACAACAUCCCUGAGACAGCAGCAGCGGCUGAAGACAACACCAUCAUGAUCCCAGACUCCAUCCAUCCACACUACAGUCUGCUCAGACCCUCAGAGACCUGCAGACACUAUCAGCAGCAGGGGCUCAAGCGGAAACAGAGACACUUCUCUUGUUAUAAAACUAAUAAAAAAUAUUAAGGAAAAAAAAGGCACUUCUCAUAUUUAUUUAUUUUUUUCAAAAAAUAAAUAAAUAAAUAAAUAUAUUAACACAAUUUAAUUACCAAUUUAUUGUAAUUCCCUCACACUCACCCAGUUGUUUCACAUUGUUUCAUUUUUAAACAGAUGUCUACAAAUAAUCAGUUCACAUAGAGAACAUUGUGUUUAAAAAACUGAUUUUUUACAGGCUUCUGAGGCAGCGUGAUGGUUUAAUGAUCUACAACAAAAUAGAACGAGUUUAGGUAAAAAAAACUCCUGUAACUAAUAUUGAAUUACUAUAAUACUGAUUUCUCGCUAUAAAUAACAUCAAAAGUUCAAAAAGUUAAUUAGAAAUAUACAUUUACACACAAACUGAUCACCAAACACAACUUUAUGAUGCCAUCUUUACUUUAUUUUAAGCUCAAUCAUCACUGAAUGGAACACACAUGAUUGUGGGAUAUCAAAGGAAACAUCUCUGCUGCCUUCAGAAAUCGAUCAGAUGAAGGUAUGAGACAGAAAGUGAAGCUAACAUUGGAUUCGGACGUGCCCUGAUGCCUUUCUUUGAAGUGUGUCCUCUGAAGACAGCAUCUUUCAGUGUUUGGGUGCAGCACAUGUUAAACUAUAGCAGGGCUGAGCAACUUUGGUCCUGAGGAACACUAUCAGCUCAACCCUAAUCAAACACACCUGCCUGUAGCUUUCUAGUUAUCUUGAAGACCUUGAUCAGUUUGUUUAGUUUGACUUGGAGCUAAACUCUGAACCAUAGUGGCCCUCCAGGACUGUAAGGUCCAGGCACUCGGUCCAAGGAAGGUAUCCGGUGCUGGCUGAAGGUUGCUUGCGCGUUCGGUCUUUUCAGCGCGU
ensembl:lncRNA